AAACUUGUUGGCGCCAACUUUUCCCCAGUGGGGAUGGUGGGAAAGAGGUUGGCCACAGAUGCUUAUCAAGGACCUGGGCCCAGAUGCCCCUAGGAAGGGCUCUGGUCUUGAACUGCCUGCAGGGGGUCUCCCUGCCCCACCCUGGGCGGGUCCUCACCUCUUCCUCUGACCUCCUUUCUCAUGUCCUGGCCUUUUUCGGUGACCCUUGCACGGUGUCCUCCCAGAUGGAGCUGGAAGAGGCUUUCCGCCUGGCCCGUCAGUGCAGGGACGAAGGCCUCAUCAUUCAUGUUUUCCCGAGCACCCCUGAGCAGCCUGGCCUGCCGUGUCCAGGAGAAGACAAAUCUAUCUACCGCCGGGGAGCCAGAAGAUGGAGGAAGCUGUACUGUGCCAACGGCCACCUCUUCCAAGCCAAGCGCUUUAACAGG
rnacentral:sRNA from 1 species